AUAAGGGUGAGCAAAAGUAGAAAGUCGUGUGCAACGAGGGCGCGGGAGGAUGGAAGGCAUGCAGUUAGCAAGAUCAGAAGAACAGUUGACGAGAAAAUAGCGAUAGAAGAUAGCAGGAGAUGCGACAUUGCGGGGAAGAGAGAGAGGCUGAAGACAUUCAGUUAGAGGAGAGGAGCUGGUAAGACGAAAGGCUGGUCUGGUCUGGGGGGACAGUCUCGUUAGGGGGACAGUAACCUGAUGAAGCGAGCAAACACGCGGUUCAAGAUUGUCCCAGAAACGAGUAAUCAUUGGUGACCGUCCUUAGCUCGGGACAGGACCAUCAGCUGGGCGACGGCGGUAGUGGUGGCGACGGCGGUUGUGGUGGUAAGGUUAAACGAAGAGGAAGAAAAGGAAGAGAAGUAAAAGGAAAAGCCAGAGGAGGAGAAAGAAAAAUAGAAGAAGGCGCGAGAGAAGGAGAUGAGGAGGAGAAGGAGGAAAGCGCUAUAGAAGAAAGAAGAGCACCUCCCGCCUCGCGCCUUCCUUCCUCCCGUCUCCCGGAGUGUACACACCUGCACUCUUGAGGCUGCUGGCGAGAAGAACUGUGUCCCAAGCCCUCCACCAUGGCCGCCGCUCCGAAAGUUUGCGUCCGUCGCGCGAAGCUCAUCUUCCUGAUGGAGAACGCAGGCAAGGACGUCUUGACCUUCGUGUUGAAGCGCGGCGCGCUGAACGCCCCCGCCACGCCGCCAGGCCAGUCCCUCAUUGACUACCUUGACAACCUCCCUCAAGGCUCGACAGCCAACUAUGGCAGGAUGAGUAACAAACAAAAGAAAGCAGCACUGAACCACAGUUCAGUGCUGCUUAUCCUCUGACGUGACUACUUUAUUCAUUAUUUUUU